CUGCGUUUAUAGCGGAGCAUAUUCUUUACCAAACCAUGGCUUUACAGUUACUUUGGUCAAUUUGAUCAUUUUCCCUUCCUUCAGCCGUUUUCGCCGGAAUCAAUGGCCGAUUCUCGACCGCUGCUCGAGAAUCAACAGGAGUUGCCGGAGUCCAGUGGCAAGGCUCCGCGAGUUGUCUCACUCGACGUCUUUCGCGGCCUCAGCGUCUUUAUGAUGAUCUUCGUGGACUACGGUGGCUCGUUUUUACCAAUUAUCGCUCAUUCGCCAUGGAAUGGACUUCAUCUGGCUGAUUUUGUGAUGCCUUGGUUUCUAUUUAUUGCGGGAGUUUCGGUUGCACUUGUUUAUAAAGACGUAAAAAGUAAAGUGACCGCUGCGAGGAAUGCAACAUGCAGGGGCCUGUAUCUCUUUCUCCUUGGAGUUCUUCUUCAAGGUGGUUACUUUCAUGGAAUAACAUCUUUGACAUAUGGCGUUGAUAUGGAAAGGAUUAGGUGGCUUGGCAUUUUGCAGAGAAUAUCUAUUGGAUACUUGGUUGCUGCACUAUGUGAGAUUUGGCUAACUCGUUCUAAACGUGAAGAAGCUCAACAAACUAAGAGUUUCAGUUGGCAUUGGUGUAUUAUAUUUUUUCUGUUGUCAUUGUAUAUGGGACUGUCGUAUGGUUUAUAUGUUCCGGAUUGGGACUUUCAAAUAUCAGCCACGAGCUCUUCACUUCCACCAAAUGGAAGCUAUGUUUACAUGGUGAAUUGUUCUCUUCAAGGUGAUCUGGGGCCUGCUUGUAAUUCUGCUGGCAUGAUUGAUCGUUAUGUCCUUGGUAUUCAUCAUUUGUAUACUAAACCUGUCUACAGAAAUCUAAAGGAGUGCAAUAUUUCUUCCAGCGGUCAAUUUCCUGAGACUUCACCUUCAUGGUGUCAUGCUCCUUUUGAGCCUGAAGGUCUUUUAAGCUCUUUAACAGCUACAGUGGCAUGCAUAAUAGGACUUCAGUAUGGUCACUUUCUUGCCAAAGCACAGGAUCACAAAAGUCGCACCAAAAGCUGGUUCUUACUCUCACUUAAGAUUGUGGCUCUCGGAAUAUUCCUCGUCUUUAUAGGUGUCCCUGUAAAUAAAUCCCUCUACACGGUCAGCUAUAUGUUAAUUACUUCAGCGUCAGCAGGAAUAAUCUUUUGUGCUCUAUAUAUCUUGGUGGAUAUCCACGGCUAUCGACGCUUGACAUGUGUUCUGGAAUGGAUGGGGAAGCAUGCUUUGAGUAUUUAUGUUUUAGUAAUCUCUAACAUACUAGUUACUGGCCUCCAAGGAUUCUACUGGAAAUCUCCUAAAAAUAACAUCGUGCACUGGAUAGUUAGUCGUGUCAAAGCUCAAAGUUGAACAACUGCUAACUUGCUGGGGGAUAAAUAAUUCACUCAUCAGUAAGAUCAUAGGGCUCGGGUCUGUCCACCAUAUUCGAAAUUACACAGCAAAUAUUGAGCAAAAGUUGAGUAAGAUGGUAACAGAACUCUUACCGGGUUGUGUUUGGAAAAAACUUCUCACUAUCAUCCCAGGUAUAAGCAAAAAAAAAAAAGAAUUGAGAAAUUAAAAAUAAUAAGGAAUAACAAGGACAAAACUAGAAAACACAAGAAUUUGCGUGGAACUUCGAAAGAAAAACUACAACCCACAAAAAAAAAAUACACUUUAUGAAUAAUUGUUACAAAUCACAUAGAAUUAACUCUUUGAUCCCAACUACAAGAGGAUUCUCUCAAUCUUUUGUAUCACUCAUUCUCUUUUUUCCAUUGUCAAUGUAGAAAAUACAAAAAAUAAAAAUUUUAAAUAAAAUUAGCACACCUGAUUUUAAAAAUAUUUUUAAUUGAGACAAUUUAAAAUUAAAGUGAUAACAUUAAUGGGAUCUCCUUACUUCCUGCCCAUUUUUAGAGUAGGAACUCACUCCUAUUCUUCUUAUUCCUUUCUGAUUCAUCUCUUUAAAUAUUUGGCCAAAAUCUAACUUUUUAUUGGUGUUACUAUUCAAAUCAUUGGAACUUUCUUCCUUCUUUUAGAAUAAAGUUUAGAUAUUUUGAUAUUCAUCUUAUCUGUAAAUUAAAAUAUCAAUUUAUAUCUACCUCAAUAUUUUAAUCUGGGUUUAUAGAAGUAGAACAAGGUUUGGAUAUUUUGCUAUUCUUCCAAAAUGGCGGAGGAAUUUUAGUACGUGUGGAUGAUGUGUGGCAGCUGAGAAAGAAGUAUGAUCUGACAUUUGUCCAAAUGGAAGGAUCAUCAUUUUCCAGCACACACUCUUCCCUAAAACGUGGCUCAAUUCCCCUAACCUUCCAAUCCUAAACAUCACUAAUUUCAUUCUCUGUUCUAAAUUAUUUAAUUAUUAAGGGUCUGAGGGUAAUUAUUUGAUUUUUUGGUUUUUUUUUUUUAAAAUUAAUUUU